ensembl:lncRNA
CUUCUCUCUCACACACACACUUUCUUCUCCUCCCUCUGCAAUGGGUAUCUGUAUAGCACAACGUUGCUAUAUGACAAUAGGGCAGUAUAAACAGGUAGAUGUUGUACUUGAUGCCUGUAAUCUGUGUCUGAUUGUGUUAAGAAAUCAAAGGGCCACUUCCCUCAAGCCCUGACAUGUUGACAUAUCCGUAUCCAGGCUACACCUUCACUGUAGCAAUAGAAGCAGAAGUUGAAGGAAAGUAGGGUGAGGGUGCAGCCUUUUCUGACAUCACACAAUUACAUCAUCACACAUAAGAUGUUUUUGUCCUAUUCAUGUCUCUCAGUGUUCAGGAAAAACAAGUUGUUAGACAUUCUGUCUUUUUCUCUCUUCUUCUUUUUCUCACUCUGUCAUAUCCUCUUCUCACUGGCAGUCUGUUUUUGAUGUCCGAGUGAGAUUCCAUUCUUCCAUUCUGUCUCUAUAACUCGCCUCUCUUGUUGGUUUGCUGUUUUGGUGGUGGUGACCCCUGUGUUAGACCAUGGGAGAUCCAAUAGCUUUCUCCGUCCUAAACAAGAGACUGAGACCACAGUUCACUGCCAUGGAACGCCUCUGCUACUCCCUGGACACACUGGAAGAUGGACCACAGCGGCCUGGCACGGUCAGGGGUGGUUCAACCACACGGUCUACAAUACUGAGGGAUGUAUCACAAACACAGGACGAUUCAAGCUCAACCACUACCAAACCAGAGCAGGAGGAUGUGGUAACAGAAGGGUUGAUUUCCCUGACUGAAGAGGGGGACAUCGGUCCUGAACCGUUGGCCAUGUCUAUGAUCAAGGAUUGUUCAAUGCUGUUCCUGACAGUAGAAGAUGCUGGUCCUGAUGGGUCUGGUGAGCUGGCCGUGGUCAGGGACAGUUUGACCGUAGCGAGUGACGGUCCAGAUGGUUUGACUGUGGUCAUUGAGGGAGACGGAGACAGUUCUGAUGCGGUCAGUGAAGAUAGGAGCACGUCCAGACGGAGCUACAUAGAUGGGAUGUUACCGGACCUUAUCAGGAGUGGACGACCGCUCAACAGACGCAGGACACUAGGGCCAGUCUCAGACACGUUGAAGGAGGUGCGUCGGGAGGUGGAGCUCUCUCGGAGGCGCAGUCUGAAGCUGAAGGCUCAGGUGGAUAAACUACAGGAGAACAGAGAGGGAACGGGAUGGAGUCAACACAGAGCGAAGGUUACAGAGGAGGUUCACUCCAUUCUGAGGUUGUUGCUUCCUUUGACAGGAUCCAGCCCAGUAGAACCGUCUGGUCAGGAGAACAGUCUGGAUACAGCACUGGUUCUGCUGCAGAACGUGGCACGCAAACUAGCAUUGAACCACACAGCACAGGAUUCCAAGUCCGGGGGUCGUAGAGAAAAUGAUGUGGAUGGCAGUGCUGUUCUACAACAGGCACUACAGGACAGAGACGAUGCCUUGGAGAAGAAGAAGGCCAUGGAGGCGGAGCUUCUUCGCAGUAAGACAGAGAUGAUGUUACUUAACAACCAGCUGCUGGAGGCCGUGCAGAAAAGACUGGAGCUCGCUUUGGAAGUAGAGGACUGGAAGGACGAUGUCCAGAUGAUCCUCCAGCAACAGCUCCGGAGCCAGCAACAACAGGCAGCAGAACAAGCCCAGAGGAAGCCGUCCCGUCUGGGGCUGCUGAGGAGGACCAACAGACCCCCCCUCCAGAGGCCAGCCUCUACCCCCUUGACCUACACCACUGGACAGGUUCCCGUUAGUACCCGCGUCCCUUCCCCCUCUCCCACCCCCCAAUGUACCCCUGUCACCUGGAGGGACAGGCUGAAAAGGGGGAAGGUGGGUCGUCAUAGUGGCCAGGAUGCAGAGCAGGCAUUGCAGGCAUCGCGGUCGUCGAGCGGCAGCAGACUGGAGGAGGGGUUUCAUACCAUAGACUUAUAAUAACACAUCAUACACAAAAUGAUAUGCAUUUAAGGGAGGGAUACAACUCAUAUCUAUGUACUGUAUUUACUGGUAGCUACUUUAUCAAUCUUUCUAACUGUGGAUUCUUACUGGGAGAGAUACAUUGAGCUGAUAGUUAGAUACAGAAUCACAAGCAGAUUCAUUCUCCAAUCUACUAGUACUGUGCACCGCUCUGAUCUGUUUGGCUUUAGGAAAAUAUUUUUCAGAGAAUUAUGUCUAUUGGUGCCUGGAUACUACAUUUAGGUUGGAGAUUUUCCCUCCAACUCUAGGCAUACAUUUUCUAUUGUAAUGACAAGCAGUCAUGUUGACUGUAACACGUGUCUCUGAUUAAAGGGGCAAUCCUUAGUUGCUAGGGCAACAUACAUUUUUGGACAUAGAAAUGAAUGAUAUCUGCCCAUUGAUUCUUGAAGAAUAUAACAUAUAAAUGCAUAUCAAUGCCUAAUGAGCUUAGUUCAACUGUCAUAGUCCAUCAGAACCCAAAAUAUAAGCUUGUUUUACUCCAAUGUUUGUAAAUAUAAAUGUAAACAAACAGGGCCAAUUGCAACCACUGAUGGCCACUAGAUUAUCGCCAGCCGAUCUCUCGUUAAACCAAAAUUUAUGUUGCUGUAGCAAAUAAGGAUUGACCCUUUAAUCAGACUAAGAGAUUGGAGAAUGAGUCUGCUUGUGACUGUGUAUCUAACCAGAGGGUGAAAUUGAGAGGUGGCACCACAGGUUCCAAAGUGGUGUGGCACUGGUCAGGUAAAACUCUGGGCCCUAUUCGUAGGCUAUGAUAAAAUAUUAUUAUUAUAGAUAGAACAGAUGAAAAGGGAAGCUAUGAAUAGGGCUGGAGUUUUUCUUGUCAAGACAUGUGAAUUGGAAACACUCCUGGCCUAAGGUGAAUCAAACCCUUUCAAACUCCUACAAACCUUGUUAUUGUUCAUUCUGAAGCCUUUAUGUAUGGCAGAGUUACAUUUAGCACUAUACUCAGUAUAAUUUGUAACAAGCCAGGGUUACAUUUAAUAUUAUACACAGUAAAAUUUGUAACAAUGUUUUUUUUAAUGUGUAAGUCAUAAAACCACUAACUUUGUGUCAUUGUCCUGGUCUCCAUCUGGGCUACCAGAGGUUGGAUCCCUGCUUCUCACUGUUGGAACUGAUUGCCUGUAAAAUCCAUAUUGUCAAUCAUUAAAUCAACUACUUUAAACAUUUUUAUUGAAAAUUAUAUUCCCC